GUCUUUCUACUCUGCCAACCCCAGCAUGUGGCAUGUCGUUUUUAUGGCGGCCAAAUUUUAAAAAAUGCCGAUGUCUUAAAAGAGAAGGAAAGGCUGAGGAACUUUUUGGGAUGAGAGGAGACUGAAGAACAGUGAGGACUAAAUGCAGCAGGUAACCGCAGACUGGACCCUACACUAGAGGCGAAGAAGUGCUAUCAAGGACAUUAUUGGGUCAACUGGCAAAACCAGAACACCAGCAGGGGCUGAGCACAGGCAUCGUAUUAGUGUCCAGUUUAUGGACGAUUGUAUAAAAUAAUAUCCUUAUUCUAGGAAAUCCACACUGAAAUAUUUAGGGAGAAAGGGCCAUGAUGUAGGCAACUUACUUAAGAAAAUUAAAUUGAUU